UACUGUUUUCUUUGUGUCAUUCAGUCAUCAAAGGUGGAAGGAAGGCUCUCAACACUGGAAGCUCAACUAGAUAGUUUUCUGUCUGGGCUACACAAGCUCAGUAUCUUGGAGAAACGUCUGGAUGAACUUGAGAGACAGAAAAACACAGACAAGAAUGAGGGACAAGUCAUAACCAUAUCCACUAAGAGCUGGGAAAAUCUGAUGAGCAGAGUCCUUUUACUGGAAACUAAACUAGAACUGAGCAAUACACAGUUAAGUGCCCCUCCGCCAUGCCCGUCAUCUUCCUCCUCCUAUUCUUUCAGCUCCAUGUCUGAUACUUCAAAGGAGGACCUCAAAGACAGACUAGAGAGGAUCACUAACAUGCUGAAGAGCACCUCCAGUCUGCUGAAGAACACUGAAUCUUCCACAACAACCUGCAACUAAACUAUAAUGAUUGGUCAUUAUCUUCGCUUGGGUUUAAUGUAAUGUUACACCACAAUUUUGUUCCACUUUGAAGUCUUCUUGGCAUUGUUAAUGUUCCUUAUUAAAGCUAAAUUAUCACCACUGUGCGCUUACUUGGUUUUUGUUACAGGUCUCAGUUUGAUAGAGCCAGCAAACAGGUGUGUGUGCCUGAGAUAACAGGAAAAAGAAAUGAGACAGAUAGACGUGUGGCUUCUUCAGCA